UUUUUUGGAAUAUGUAUUUAUAGCGCCUGUGAUGGAUGUGACAGAUGGUACCACCAGUCAUGUGUUGGCAACCCACCAGUAGAGGAAGACCUUCAUUGUCUGGCAUGUACUGAAGAUUAGACCAAGUAACUGCUUUAUCCUGGUCAUGGCCGUGGAGGAUCCAGAACUGUUCCUGGGGAAACUGGACGUACGGCAGGAGUGCACUAUGGAUGUGAUGCUAGUCAAUCCCAGGGCACCAUCCCAGAUUUUAUUUUAUUUCGUUUAAAAAUAUAUAUAUUUCUAUUAAGCUAUAAAUAUGUAUUUAAGUUUUAAUUUGCAUUGAGGUGGAUUUCUUUAUUAUAUAUUUGCAUAAUUGUAAUAUAUGCAUAAUUUAGUUUAACACUAA